rnacentral:rRNA from 1 species
CCUACGGGAGGCUGCAGUGAGGAAUAUUGGUCAAUGGACGAGAGUCUGAACCAGCCAAGUAGCGUGAAGGAUGACUGCCCUAUGGGUUGUAAACUUCUUUUAUAUGGGAAUAAAACGUUCCACGUGUGGGAUUUUGUAUGUACCAUAUGAAUAAGGAUCGGCUAACUCCGUGCCAGCAGCCGCGGUAAUACGGAGGAUCCGAGCGUUAUCCGGAUUUAUUGGGUUUAAAGGGAGCGUAGGUGGAUUGUUAAGUCAGUUGUGAAAGUUUGCGGCUUAACCGUAAAAUUGCAGUUGAAACUGGCAGUCUUGAGUACAGUAGAGGUGGGCGGAAUUCGUGGUGUAGCGGUGAAAUGCUUAGAUAUCACGAAGAACUCCGAUUGCGAAGGCAGUUCACUGGACUGCAACUGACACUGAGGCUCGAAAGUGUGGGUAUCAAACAGGAUUAGAUACCCGUGUAGUC